rnacentral:rRNA from 1 species
UACGGAAGGCAGCAGUGGGGAAUAUUGCACAAUGGGCGCAAGCCUGAUGCAGCCAUGCCGCGUGUAUGAAGAAGGCCUUCGGGUUGUAAAGUACUUUCAGUCGUGAGGAAGGUGUUAAGGUUAAUAACCUUAGCAAUUGACGUUAGCGACAGAAGAAGCACCGGCUAACUCCGUGCCAGCAGCCGCGGUAAUACGGAGGGUGCGAGCGUUAAUCGGAAUUACUGGGCGUAAAGGGCACGCAGGCGGUUAAUUAAGUUGGAUGUGAAAUCCCCGGGCUUAACCUGGGAAUGGCAUUCAAGACUGGUUAGCUAGAGUCUUGUAGAGGGGGUAGAAUUCCAUGUGUAGCGGUGAAAUGCGUAGAGAUGUGGAGGAAUACCGGUGGGCGAAAGGCGGCCCCUGGGACAAAGGACUGACGCUCAUGUGCGAAAGCUGGGGAGCAAACAGGGAUUAGAUACC